AGUGAACGCUGGCGGUAGGCCUAACACAUGCAAGUCGAACGGCCGCACAGUAAGAGUUUGCUCUUACGGGUGGCGAGUGGCGGACGGGUGAGGAGUACAUCGGAAACUACUAUUUCGUGGGGGAUAACGUGGGGAAACUUCCGCUAAUACCGCAUAUGACCUACGGGUGAAAGCAGGAGAGCUUCGGACCUUGCGCGACAGAAAGAGACGGUGCCGGAUUGGCUUGUUGGAGGGGUAAAGCCACCCCAAGGCAAGGAACCGUAGCUGAUCUGAGAGGAGGUUCAGCCACCCUGGAACUGAGACCCGGUCCGAACUCCUACGGGAGGCAGCAGUGGGGAAUAUUGGAAAAUGGGGGCAAGCCUGAUCCAGCCAUACCGCGGGAGUAAAGAAGGCCUUGGAGUUGUAAAGUCCUUUUGUAGGGAAAGAAAAACAGCAGGUUAAUACCCCGCUGUUCUGACGGUACCCAAAGAAUAAGCACCGGCUAACUUCGU
rnacentral:rRNA from 1 species